UAGUGUCAUUUUUAGCCUAUAAAAUAAUAGUAAAAAUAUCUUUAAAGUUCUUAAAUUAAUUCCAUUUAUUAUAACGUUUAAAUCUUGAAUUUUGAUAAAGGAAUAUUAUUAUUUAAAUCCAAAUCUACACUUUACUUUUUAUAUUGAGUUCAUGAAUAUUCAAAAGGUUCUUACUUUAAAUUACGUAUUUGAUUGGUCAUUGUGAUUUCGCGGUCAAUUUAUAUUUUGUAUUGACCAGGUAUAGUUUGCACGGGAACUUGACAAUAACAGUCGCAUUAUAUUGUAUCCCGAUUUAUAUAACUGUGUUAUGGUUUUAAUUCAUUGUGGACACAACAUAUUACAUAUUGAUGACUCCAUUGAUGUAAUUAUAUACAGAGUAUACAUUGUGAACUGUGCCUUGUCCUUGCCAGUAAGAACUCACUCCACAAGUGAGUUUAUUUUUAUACUACUGGUAUAAUAAAUCAUCCGAACCCUAAACAGAGUUUGUUAUAUCUUUACCCAAGAACCGACCCUGUUACAUUUA